rnacentral:rRNA from 1 species
AGAGUUUGAUCCUGGCUCAGAAUGAACGCUGGCGGCGUGCUUAACACAUGCAAGUCGUACGAGAACGCUUCAGCUUGCUGAAGCUAGUAAAGUGGCGCACGGGUGAGUAACGCGUGGGUAAUCUACCUCCGAAUUGGGGAUAACGUUGCGAAAGCGACGCUAAUACCGGAUAAUAUCGAGAGGACUUCGGUUUUUUCGAUCAAAGGUGGCCUCUUCAUGAAAGCUACUGUUUGGAGAUGAGCCCGCGUCCCAUUAGCUUGUUGGUGGGGUAAAAGCCCACCAAGGCCGCGAUGGGUAGCUGGUCUGAGAGGAUGAUCAGCCACACUGGAACUGACACACGGUCCAGACUCCUACGGGAGGCAGCAGUGAGGAAUUUUGCGCAAUGGGGGAAACCCUGACGCAGCAACGCCGCGUGAGUGAUGAAGGCUUUCGGGUCGUAAAGCUCUGUCAAGUGGGAAGAACCACUUUGAGGAUAAUACCCUCGAGGUCUGACGGUACCACUGAAGGAAGCACCGGCUAACUCCGUGCCAGCAGCCGCGGUAAUACGGGGGGUGCAAGCGCUAUUCGGAUUUACUGGGCGUAAAGCGCGCGUAGGCGGCCGUUUAAGUCAGUUGUGAAAGCCCGGGGCUCAACCCCGGAAGUGCGACUGAAACUGGCAGGCUUGAGUAUGGGAGAGGGAAGUGGAAUUCCUGGUGUAGCGGUGAAAUGCGUAGAUAUCAGGAGGAACACCAGUGGCGAAGGCGACUUCCUGGACC